GAUGAACGCUGGCGGUAUGCCUAACACAUGCAAGUCGAACGAACUCUUCGGAGUGAGUGGCGGACGGGUGAGUAACGCGUAAGGAACUGCCCUUAGGAGGGGGACAACCACUGGAAACGGUGGCUAAUACCCCAUGUGCCGAGAGGUGAAAGAUUUAUCGCCUGAGGAUGUUCUUGCGUCAGAUUAGCUAGUUGGUGGGGUAAUGGCCUACCAAGGCGACGAUCUGUAGCUGUUCUGAGAGGAAGAUCAGCCACACUGGGACUGAGACACGGCCCAGACUCCUACGGGAGGCAGCAGUGGGGAAUUUUCCGCAAUGGGCGAAAGCCUGACGGAGCAAUACCGCGUGAACGAAGAAGGCUCUAGGGUCGUAAAGUUCUUUUAUCAGGGAAGAAGGAUUGACGGUACCUGAUGAAUCAGCAUCGGCUAACUCCGUGCCAGCCGCCGCCGUAACAC
rnacentral:rRNA from 1 species